GAUGAACGCUGGCGGCGUGCCUAAUACAUGCAAGUCGAGCGAACAGACCAGGAGCUUUCUCCUCUGACGUUAUCGGCGGACGGGUGCGUACCACGUGUAUGACCUACCUAUCAGACUGGGAUACCUUCGGGAAACCAGAUCUUCUACCGGAUAAUAUAUUGCACCUCAUUGUUCAAUAGUUCAAGACGCUUUUUCUGUCACUUAUAGCUGGAUCCGCGUCGCAUUCGCUAGUUUGUAAGGUAAAGGCUUACCAAGGCAACGAUGCGUAACCCACCUGAGAGGGUGAUCGGACAGACGGGAAGAGAGACACGGUAGAGACACAGAGGGGAGGCAGCAGUAGGGAAUCUUACGCAAGGGGCGAAAGCGUGACGGAGGAACGCCGCGUGAGUGAUGAAGGUCUUCGGAUCGGAAAACUCUGUUAUUAGGGAAGAAGAAAAGUGUAAGUAACUAGGCAGGUAUUGACGGUACCUAAUGAGAAAGCAACGGCUAACUACGUG
rnacentral:rRNA from 1 species